UAAAUAACUUUCAAUAUUUUACUCUUCAUAAAAACAUAUUUUGUCAAAAAUAUACAAGUUAGAAAUGAGGCAAAGAUAACAUCGGGCCAUUAAUAACAAUAAAACGGUCAAGUUUUAUGGACUUUUAAGGGGAAGAAUUAAGGGAAAUCUUAUGGCAAACUUCAAAGGUUAUGGUGGGAAUUUUUAAAGAAAAAAUACUUUUUUUUGCAAAUAUUUCCAUCUACCAUCCUUCUUUUUUCUUCUGUUAUAUUUCUUUUUGGGGACACGAGAUUUUGAGAUCAGUCACUUUUUAUAUUGAAGGGAGAACAAAUAAAUAUAGCUGGAAAAACAUUAAGGAAAAGUUAAGGGAUAAUUCAAGGGAAAGAUUAAAGGAAAAGUUAAGGGGAUUUUAUUAUUUAUUAUAUUGAUUUUUCUAAACUUAAGCCCUGAAGAUAAUAUUUGAUCCAUGUAGUCGCAGUGACAUAAUCACUGAGGAGAAAAAGUAGAAGAAAGAAAAAAAAAAAGGAGAUUUAAGGGGAAAGUUAAGGGUGUUUUAAGGAAAAACGUCGAAAGCUCGUUUCAAAGUAAAAGAAAGCUAAUUUUUAAGGAGACCAACUUAAAUACCCCUAAACAGGAGAAUGUUGAGGGAAAUGUGGAAAUAAAAGUUAAGAGAAAAAUUAAGGGGAUUUUUAAGGGGAACUUUAAGGGAAAUAUUUAAAAGAACAGUGAAGAGAAACGUCAAAGUGAGUUCGGCUAAGGGGAAAUUUAAGGGAAAAGUUAAGGGAAAAGUUAAGGGAAAAAUUAAGGGAAAAGUUAAGGGAAAAGUUAAGGGAUUUUCUAUUUUAAAGAAAAAGUUUUCUAAAUGUAACUCGCGAAUAACUGAGAUAAUAUUUGAGCUGUGGAGUCACUGAGUCUCACUGAAUUCAUCACUGAGGUCAUAAAACCCAAAAUGUUAUUUCAGGUCUUAGGAGGCUAAGAAUAAAACUCACGUUUUGUGUGUUUAUCAUCAUUGUAGCAUCAUGGAGCUGGUCGCUGGCCAUUAUGUUGCCUGGGAUUGGCAUGUGGGAACAAUAUUUGAAGCUGGACUCCUUAUUUUGAAUGGACCAGCAUGCAUUGGGGCAGUUUUCGUCUGUGUGAAGCAUCUGCAGUGAGGGUCAGCAGUCUGAGGCCUCGAUCCUUGAGCGGAGAAAGGUAGUUUGCCCUCUCUGGGUGGGCGGAGUGCUCCUUCUCUAGGAGGAGGAGUUUAAGUAUCCUCUAGGAUUAGGGGAACAAAAAUGUUUCAUUGUCCCUGACAAGUAAACAGGUUAGUUUGGAAUUCCUCCAUUUAUUGCAAAGUUUGCCCCAAAUCUGCCCUAUAUAUGUCUGUUUGAAGUGUGGUAAUGUUUCAGUUAUAAAGCCGAUUAUGUAUCUAGCAUUUAUGGGUACUUAAUGCCAACAAAAUGCUGGUUGCUAGGAAAAAAUUCAAAUAUAUUUUGACCUAGAGGCAAAAAAAUUGCUACAGAUACAUUUUAAGUCCAAGGCAAGUAAAAAAGUCUACGGUUGCUAUGGACUUCGGAUAUUCCUAAAGACAUGGUAAGUGUAAAUACUGGUUGCUAUGGAAAAAGUGAAAAUUUAGUUAGAGAUAAAGGCACAAAAAUUACUACACAUAUUUAUCAGUCCAAAAUGUGUGAGAAAGUGUAUGGUUGCUGUGGGCUUCCCAUAUAUAUAAAUGAAAUGGUAGGUGGAAAUGCUGGUUGCUAGGGAAAAAGUGAAAAUUUAGUUUGAGAUAGAGGCACAAAAAUGACUAAACACAUUUAGUAGUCCAAGAUGAGUACAAAAAUAUAUGGUUGCUAUGAGCUUCCCAUAUACAUAAAUUAAAUGUUAGGUGGAAAUGCUGGUUGCUAGGGAAAAAGGGAAAGUUCAGUUUGAGAUAGAGGCACAAAAAUUGGUAAACACAUUUAAUAGUCCAAAAUGAGUAAAAAAGUGUAUGGUUGCUAAGGACUUCCAAUAUACAUAAAUUAAAUGGUAGGUGGAAAUGCUGGUUGCUUGGGAAAAAGUAAAAAUUUAGUUUGAGAUAGAGGCACAAAAAUUACUACACAUAUUUAUCAGUGCAAAAUGUGUGAAAAAGUGUAUGGUAGCUAUGGGCUUCCCGUAUAUAUAAAUGAAAUGGUAGGUGGAAAUGCUGGUUGCUAGGGAAAAAGUGAAAAUUUAGUUUGAGAUAGAGGCACAAAAAUGACUAAACACAUUUAUUAGUCCAAGAUGAGUACAAAAAUAUAUGGUUGCUAUGAACUUCUCAUAUACAUAAAUUAAAUGUUAGGUGGAAAUGCUGGUUGCUAGGGAAAAAGGGAAAGUUCAGUUUGAGAUAGAGGCACAAAAAUGACUAAACACAUUUAAUAGUCCAAAAUGAGUAAAAAAGUGUAUGGUUGCUAAGGACUUCCAAUAUACAUAAAUUAAAUGGUAGGUGGAAAUGCUGGUUGCUAGGGAAAAAGGGGAAAUUCAAUCUGACAUAAAAGGUCAAAAAUUGCGACACAUAUUUAGCACUCCAAGACAAGUAAAAAAAUGAAUGGUUGCCAUGGACUUUCAUUGUUCAUUUUAAUUUUUUUGCAUCAAAGCUUACCUUUAAUCUGUCCUUAAUGUGUUUUGCAGUUGAACCGUCAUGAAGUGCUGUUUGAACCACCAUUUGUAGCUUUUAUCGGCGUCCCCGCGGCCCGCUUGAAAACGAGGUGUCCACAUCAACGGCUGCAACAUAAAAACUUCAUCACGUAUUCCGUCCUGCAUUAUUUAUGGCCGCACUCCUGCAGGAUUCUCUCAAACCGAUCCUGUGAUGGAGGAAAAGAAACCAAAAAAAAAAAAAAA